GUGCUUGCUUCAGCAGCACAUAUACUAAAAUUGCAACGAUAUAGAGAAGAUUAGCAUGGCCCCUGCACAAGGACUGCAUGCAAAUUCAUUAAGUUUUCCAUUUUUUU
ensembl:snRNA U6 U6 spliceosomal RNA